rnacentral:lncRNA from 1 species
GCCGUGCUUGUAAGAUGUUUUCGAUGAUAGGAAAUCCGAUUCGACAACCGGCUUCGUUAAAUAUAAUCUACCCUAUUGGAACUAUUUAGAAACCAAAUUUUAUAAUUUUUUCACAUCAUUUACCAAGCGAUCAAAAGGUCUCAAAAAUGACAAUAUUAACGGCCGAUGUGGCACGUUUUUAAGUUCAACGGUGUAGAAGUAUCCAAAUUAGAUGAAAAUUUAAUAAAAAAAUUCUACUUAACAUCAAUAGCAAGACCAAUACUUCCGAUUUGAAAUUUGAGUCCUUUAUUACUGUUUUUUAUGAGAUUUUUAUUUUCAGCCGUUCAUUUUGAGGCUAUUUGUUUGCUAGACAAACGAAGUCAAAAGUUUAUGAAAUUUGGUUUCUAGGUAGUUCUAAUAGCGUAGAUCAUGUCUAACGGAACCGAUCGCCGAAUCAGAUGUCCCAUCAUCGAAAACAACUUACAAGCAUGGAGGCCUCCAUACUUUCGAAAGUAUAGGAGCCUAGCUCUAUAUAUAUAUAUAUAUAUAUAGAAGGUCUUGUGUGCUAUUAGGAGCACGAAGGCCUCCGUGCUCCUAAGCCAUUUUCCAUGAUGGAGCUUCGGAAUCGACGAUCGGCUCCGUUAGACUUGAUCUAGUAUAUUUAAAGUAUCUAGAAAAUAAAUUUUGUGACUUUUCGAUAUUAUUUACCUAACGAUUGAAAGGGUUCAAAAUCAACGGCUGAAAAUAAAAAUCUCAUAAAAAAUGGUGAUAUAGCAUUAAAAUUUUCGAUCAAACAUAUUGACCUUGCUGUAAAUAGUAUAAAAAAUUUUCUAUCAAAAUUUUAUCUGAUUUGAAUACUUCUACACCGUUAAACUUGCAAGCAGUAUACAUCAACCAUUAAAAAUUGUUGAUUUUAAACCAUUUCAAUCGCUAGGAAAAUGAUACUGCAAAAUCACAAAAAUUAUUUUCUAGAUACUUCAAAUAUGCUAGAUCAAGUUUAACGGAGCCGAUCGUCGAUUCGGAAGCUCUAUCAUAGAAAACGCACGGAGGCCUCCGUGCUCCUGAGA